rnacentral:rRNA from 1 species
CCUACGGGAGGCAGCAGUGAGGAAUAUUGGUCAAUGGUCGGGAGACUGAACCAGCCAAGCCGCGUGAGGGAGGAAGGUACAGAGUAUCGUAAACCUCUUUUGUCAGGGAACAAAGGCGGGGACGUGUCCCCGGAUGAGUGUACCUGAAGAAAAAGCAUCGGCUAACUCCGUGCCAGCAGCCGCGGUAAUACGGAGGAUGCGAGCGUUAUCCGGAUUUAUGGGGUUUAAAGGGUGCGCAGGCGGCCUGGUAAGUCAGCGGUCAAAGCCCGGGGCUCAACCCGGGCCCGCCGUUGAAACUGGCAGUCUCGAGUUGGAGAGAAGUAUGCGGAAUGCGCGGUGUAGCGGUGAAAUGCAUAGAUAUCGCGCAGAACUCCGAUUGCGAAGGCAGCAUGCCGGCUCCACACUGACGCUGAGGCACGAAAGCGUGGGUAUCGAACAGGAUUAGAUACCCCAGUAGUC